CACCAAUAAUUUUUCUGCGAUUUUGGCCAGUGACAAGAGUUUCCUUUUUUAUUAACGAACAGAAAAGAAAAGAAUCAAGUGCUCUUCACUCUCUGAUUUAUAUCACUUCAGGAAGAAAGAAGCCUUUUUGUCUCUUUAUCAAGCCUACAGUCAUGGAAUGUGUAUAUGCUUUUUUUUUUUUUUUUGAGUACUGGGGAUUGAACUCAGGACCUUGCACCUCAGAACCACUGAGCUAAAUCCCCGGCCCAGUGUACAUGGUUUCUUCAGUUUCAGCCCUUGUGAUUGCCAUUCAACAGAAGUUGCUUAUACCAUGGUCAUCUUUCUUUGUAACCAAACCUUUUGCUUGUGAUUUUGCUCUCCUAAGUGUUAAUCAUUUGUGGCACCAACAACAGCACUAGUAGUUUCUUGCUUAUCCUGACACGUCACUGACUUCUUUCUUUUUUCUAGCUUUCAGUAUUUCUGGCAAUUCUUUCCUUUGCUACCCUUGGAAAUAAAACAUCUGACAUAGUCACAAGUCAUCAGCCAUGUCUAGAUGACCAUGAAUUCCAUGUACAUAACUGCUAGUAUAACAGAAAUAUGUCCAAUUAACACUGCUAGCAGAAGACUCUCCACUUGAAUGUCUCAAAACCUUAAUAUAAUAAGUAAGAAAUGGUCAAGUAGUACUUUUAAAUGACUUGACCUAAUAGUUACAUUCCCAAACUGGAGUUAAUUGCUUGCUUCAAAACUUCAUUUUCUCCAACUAGCUUACGAAUUACUGAUAGCUCUGGACCUUGAGUUUCUUGGUUUGUUGCAUUGAAAUCAUCUGUAGUGUUCCUUCCUUCUUCCAUCUUUCCAUUUCUCCAGGGAGUGAAAAAGCUUUUAGCUGAUCUUUGAUUUCUUCUUCUAUCUAACCAUGUUAUUCUUGGGGUGUAAUAAUGAAGUUUGCAUGCCCCCUUUUAUAAUCUGAUGUAGGCCCACAAGCAUUGAUGCUUUGCUAAUAUUGGUUUAUUUAUUAUGCCUUCUUUGGAAAAUCCUUUGUGAUUACUUGUUUGAAGUUAAAAAUACUGAUUGGAUACAAGAUUCUUUUUUUUUUUUUUCAGUUUUCAGCAUAUAUCUCCAACCUGCCCUCAGUCUAUAUUUGAGUUUAAUAAAUCACAGUUUAAUUUUACUAAGCUUAAUUUUCUGCUCUGUAAAUUGAGACUAAUAAUAUUAACAAUCUCAUAAGGUUGUGGUUAGGAUUAAUUUAAUACAUGCAAUCCUUAGAAUGAUGCCAGAGUUAUAUCAAACCCUUAUUCAGUGUUAAUUAUGUGGAAAAAAAUUCAUUAUCAUCUCAUGCUGAAGACAAAUUUUUUUUGUAGUUUUCUACUAUUUUUGCAAAAAACCCCCCCCCAAACAACACCCCCAAAUCAACAGCUUUUGAAGGGUUCAUGUUUAAUUCUGGGUCUGUAAAAAACUCUUGGUUGAUUUUUAGUUGUCUUGAUCCAAUUUUAUCCUCUGUAAUGAUAGUACUCUUUAAUGAUGAUUUUUUUAAAAAAACCCUAAAAACAUACAUAUUCUCUAGAAGGUAUUUAGUAUCAAGUAUUCUAAUAAAGAGUUGCUAUGAAGCAAAUCUUUUGCUAAAGGUGAUUCUCAAAC
rnacentral:lncRNA from 1 species